rnacentral:pre_miRNA from 1 species
CAUGUACUCCCUCCGUCUGGAAAUACUUGUCCUCAAAAUGUAUUUUGAGGACAAGUAUUUCCGGACGGAGGGAGUACCAA